UAAUACAUAAGUAACCUGCCCUAGACAGGGGGAUAACUAUUGGAAACGAUAGCUAAGACCGCAUAGGUACGGACACUGCAUGGUGACCGUAUUAAGAGUGCCUCAAAGCACUGGUAGAGGAUGGACUUAUGGCGCAUUAGCUGGUUGGCGGGGUAACGGCCCACCAAGGCGACGAUGCGUAGCCGACCUGAGAGGGUGACCGGCCACACUGGGACUGAGACACGGCCCAG
rnacentral:rRNA from 1 species